rnacentral:rRNA from 1 species
AGAGUUUGAUCCUGGCUCAGGAUGAACGCUGGCGGCGUGCUUAACACAUGCAAGUCGAGCGAAGCGCUUUAACGGAAUUCUUCGGAAGGAAGAUAAAGUGACUGAGCGGCGGACGGGUGAGUAACACGUGGGUAACCUGCCUCACACAGGGGGAUAACAGUUAGAAAUGACUGCUAAUACCGCAUAAGACCACAGCACUGCAUGGUGCAGGGGUAAAAACUCCGGUGGUGUGAGAUGGACCCGCGUCUGAUUAGGUAGUUGGUGAGGUAACGGCUCACCAAGCCGACGAUCAGUAGCCGACCUGAGAGGGUGACCGGCCACAUUGGGACUGAGACACGGCCCAAACUCCUACGGGAGGCAGCAGUGGGGAAUAUUGCACAAUGGGCGAAAGCCUGAUGCAGCGACGCCGCGUGAAGGAAGAAGUAUUUCGGUAUGUAAACUUCUAUCAGCAGGGAAGAAAAUGACGGUACCUGACUAAGAAGCCCCGGCUAACUACGUGCCAGCAGCCGCGGUAAUACGUAGGGGGCAAGCGUUAUCCGGAUUUACUGGGUGUAAAGGGAGCGUAGACGGCUCUGUAAGUCUGGAGUGAAAACCCGGGGCUCAACCCCGGGACUGCUUUGGAAACUAUGGAGCUAGAGUGUCGGAGAGGUAAGUGGAAUUCCUAGUGUAGCGGUGAAAUGCGUAGAUAUUAGGAGGAACACCAGUGGCGAAGGCGGCUUACUGGACGAUGACUGACGUUGAGGCUCGAAAGCGUGGGGAGCAAACAGGAUUAGAUACCCUGGUAGUCCACGCCGUAAACGA